CGCUCGGCGGUUGGCCGGUAUGGUUUGUUAAAAAAGAGAUGCUGCCGAAAAAAUCUUCAAAAUUUGCUAUUCGCCCGCUUUAUGCACAGCUGAAGAAAACGCCGAUUGCCUGUUAAAUAUUAAGAUGAGCAGCAGCCUCCUAAGUACGGCGCCCAGGUACCAACCCUUAUAGGCUCUAGCUUCAAAAGUGCGUGGAACAAAUAUCUAGCAGUUGCUGCAAGUGCAAAGGAUGCGCCCGCUCGGCAUAGAAACAGACGCGCGACAAUUCGGUUCUCUCUUGGGAGAAAUGAUUUUACGGCAAGAUGACGAGUGAGUUCCAUUUGAAAUUAUUGUGAUUUUUUUCUAUUUUUUGUCAAUAAAUAGUCACC